rnacentral:lncRNA from 1 species
UACAGAUUGGUUUUGUUUGGGAUCUCUGAUCUUAAAAAUUAGUCUUGUGUAUUGUAUUUUCUAUGGUAUCUUUUUGUGAAACUCUUCAUGUUUUUCACUAAAGAUGGAUAAUCUGUGUGAGUGAGUAGCUUGCUUAGGAUACAUCUAUACUGUACUGAAAUCUGGGAUUGCAGACUCUGUUGAUAAGUAAUUUUAAAUUGUUGGACCACACGCAGUUGUGGCAGCAUACAGGGUAUUUGUAAUGAAGCAGAAUUUGUAAUUUGUGUUUUAAUGUUUUUGCCACUGUGUCUGCAAUUUGAUCAAUGCCGUAUCUGAAUAAUACUUCAAAUGUGUCUACACAGCUGUAGUGACCAUCAGGAGGACUUGGCCUUGUACAGUUCCCUGGGUCACGUGAUCCUUCCAGCCAGUGAGAGCACUGCCGAAGUAAUGGCAACAACCUUCUGGGAUAAAUAUGAGAAGCAUAAGAAAGCAAUUGAAAACAAAAGAAAUGCAUUCCAAGCAUUGCCUGAAGUUCAUUUUGAGUUUUAUAGUUUUAUUUAAACGAUUGGUUGAAGGAAAAUAGUAAAAGAGUGUUCUGAAAUAACGCAGUCAGGUUCUAGCCAGUUGGCUAAUGCUUAAUGGUGAAAGGAUUUAAUUCAGUCAGUAGGCAGUCAUGUACACAGAGCAGUGUAUCGUUUCUGGGAGCUUAUGAAUGAAGUGGAAUACUGUGUUUUGAUCUCAGCAUAUGUCAAGCUGUUAUUCUGUAUGAUACUUAAAUCAUGUGUUCAUUGAGAUUUGUCAUUCUUUUCAUUGCAGAGGCUGUUUCUGUUAUAGAGUUAGUGUUGUCUUUCUGUUUUUAAAUAGUGUCUGAACUUUAUAGGUAAAAUUUGCCUGCUAGUUACUAACAAGCAGAGCUUUUGCCUAAUGUAAAUUUUUUACUUUCUUAUUAAACUUGUGAACAAGUGUUUGUGGGGAAAAAAACCAAGUGGACUAAGCUGAGAUGUCCCGAUUUCCCUUCAUGGCCUCUGACUUGUACCCCAUAUUGUGUCACUUGUGGGUUCAGAGGCCAUUAUUGCAUAUUUUUUAUUUUCUCCAUCUGCAUGUAUGCUAAUGAUCAGGUAUCACAUAUAGUAUGUAUCUGUCUGAAACCUUUCUCAGUUCUAUUUUAACUUCCUUCUAAAAAUCUAUAUGGUAUAUAGAAAUUUUACUUACUGUUUACACUGAGGAGGGGUGGGAUAUGUUAGCUUUUCAGUGUAGCUCCUCCUCUCAUCACAGGGGCUGAAAGAAAAAUGCGUGUUCCAAAUUAUUUGCUGGCUGACUUGCAGCUAUUUAAACACUCCUUGCCUUGCAGUGUCAGAAUCACAGCAGCAUCCAUAUGUAAAUACUUCACUGAGAAUGUGAAAAAAUUAGAAACUGCUGCUUUCACAAUGCAUUGUUGAUAAAUCAUUUGUAGGCAGGAGAGGAGAGUAGUUAUACUGCU